AAUCUGGGGUCCCCGACCUCCGAGUUGUAAUUUGGAGAGGCAUCUUCGGGGGGGAGCGCCGGCCCAUGUUCCUUGGAACAGGACGUCGCAGAGGGUGAGAAUCCCGUGCCAGGCCGGCUCCCUCCUCCCGCGUGAAGGGCCUUCGACGAGUCGAGUUGUUUGGGAAUGCAGCUCCAAGUGGGUGGUAAGUUUCAUCUAAAGCUAAAUACCGGCGGGAGACCGAUAGCGCACAAGUAGAGUGAUCGAAAGAUGAAAAGCACUUUGAAAAUAGAGUCAAAAAGUACGUGAAAUUGUUGAAAGGGAAGCGCUUGAGACCAGACUCAGGCCCGGGCAAACACCGCGCCCCCCGGGGCCGUGCAAUUGCCUGGGGCUGGGCCAGCAUCAGUCGGCGUGGCGGGACAAAGGCGCGGGGAAUGUGGCUCCCCUCGGGGAGUGUUAUCAGCCCCGCGCUCAAUGCCGCCGACGCCGACUGAGGACCGCGCCUCGGCUAGGAUGCUGGCUUAAUGGCCUUCAGCGACCCGUCUUGAAACACGGACCAAGGAGUCUAACAUCUAUGCGAGUGUUUGGGCGCCAAACCCUUGCGCGGAAUGAAAGUGAGCGGAGGUGGGAACCCCCCAGCGGGGCGCACCAUCGACCGAUCCUGAUGUCUUCGGAUGGAUUUGAGUA
rnacentral:rRNA from 1 species